rnacentral:rRNA from 1 species
UACGGGAGGCAGCAGUGGGGGAUAUUGCACAAUGGGGGGAACCCUGAUGCAGCGACGCCGCGUGAGUGAAGAAGUUAUUCGUAAUGUAAAGCUCUAUCAGCAGGGAAGAAGCAGACGGUACUUGGGGAAUAAGCCACGGCUAACUACGUGCCAGCAGCCGCGGCAAUACGUAGGUGGCAA